AUUGAACGCUGGCGGCAGGCCUAACACAUGCAAGUCGAACGGUAACAGGAAGAAGCUUGCUUCUUUGCUGACGAGUGGCGGACGGGUGAGUAAUGUCUGGGAAACUGCCUGAUGGAGGGGGAUAACUACUGGAAACGGUAGCUAAUACCGCAUAACGUCGCAAGACCAAAGAGGGGGACUUUCGGGCCUCUUGCCAUCGGCUGUGCCCAGAUGGGAUUAGCUAGUAGGUGGGGUAACGGCUCACCUAGGCGACGAUCCCUAGCUGGUCUGAGAGGAUGACCAGCCACACUGGAACUGAGACACGGUCCAGACUCCUACGGGAGGCAGCAGUGGGGAAUAUUGCACAAUGGGCGCAAGCCUGAUGCAGCCAUGCCGCGUGUAUGAAGAGGGCCUUCGGGUUGUAAAGUACUUUCAGCGGGGAGGAAGGGAGUAAAGUUAAUACCUUUACUCAUUGACGUUACCCGCAGAAGAAGCACCGGCUAACUCCGUG
rnacentral:rRNA from 1 species